UGGGCUGAAAAACAAAAGUAAAACCUCACUCGUCUUUAGUCAUUCGGGGAGUUCUUCAGAUAAGAAUUUGAAUUAGGCUUUCCAAUGAAGGGGCAUUGAAAGUCACAAUUGAGGCGCCAUAUCUCUGAUGAACACCAGGGGUGAUGGACAACACAAUGGUAAAAAUCGUCCCUGUUUCUACAUUUUGUUACCCAUAGGGGUAGUUCCACCGGCCAAUCAGCUGACAAAUGAGGACAUUGCUUAUUUGGACAACUACAUGCAAUGGGUAGGAGACGAAGCGCAGUUUAGGUUACUGAUGAGCAGCUUUUUCAACAUAAACCAGCUACAGGAGGAAGUGCGACAGUGGAUAUCAGCUGAGGAAAGAAAUCCAAUACUAGGCUGAGACGACGGGACUUAUGAAAGUGAUUCAACUUUCCAGGGGUGUUAUGGUCCUUCAAAGGAUCCUUUUUACACGGCAGUUAGGACAACGAGGCAGAGGAGAAACAGCAAGAAUGAUCCUGUGGGUCUAAACAUUUCUGUGCUUCAUACCUGCCCCUGCGAGGCGGCGCUCUAAUGGGUCCGAUCUAGUCUGAUUGUCACCAGGAAAUAAGAACAUUCUUGAUAAAUUUUAGUGAAACAGAUAAAUGUUAUUGAUGUUUGUUAUUCAUGAUUAUUGAACCCUAAUAAACUGCAAAUCUAUGA